UGCAAGUCGAGCGCGGGAAGCGAGCGGAUCCCUUCGGGGUGAAGCUCGUGGAACGAGCGGCGGACGGGUGAGUAACACGUGGGCAACCUGCCUGUAAGAUCGGAAUAACCCCGGGAAACCGGGGCUAAUGCCGGGUAAUACUUUUCUUCGCAUGAAGAUAAGUUGAAAGAUGGCUUCUCGCUAUCACUUACAGAUGGGCCCGCGGCGCAUUAGCUAGUUGGUGAGGUAACGGCUCACCAAGGCAACGAUGCGUAGCCGACCUGAGAGGGUGAUCGGCCACACUGGGACUGAGACACGGCCCAGACUCCUACGGGAGGCAGCAGUAGGGAAUCUUCCGCAAUGGACGAAAGUCUGACGGAGCAACGCCGCGUGAACGAUGAAGGUCUUCGGAUCGUAAAGUUCUGUUGUCAGGGAAGAACAAGUACCGUGCGAAUAGAGCGGUACCUUGACGGUACCUGACGAGGAAGCCCCGGCUAACUACGUGCCAGCAGCCGCGGUAAUACGUAGGGGGCAAGCGUUGUCCGGAAUUAUUGGGCGUAAAGCGCGCGCAGGCGGUUCCUUAAGUCUGAUGUGAAAGCCCACGGCUCAACCGUGGAGGGUCAUUGGAAACUGGGGAACUUGAGGACAGAAGAGGAGAGUGGAAUUCCACGUGUAGCGGUGAAAUGCGUAGAUAUGUGGAGGAACACCAGUGGCGAAGGCGACUCUCUGGUCUGUUUCUGACGCUGAGGUGCGAAAGCGUGGGUAGCAAACAGGAUUAGAUACCCUGGUAGUCCACGCCGUAAACGAUGAGUGCUAGGUGUUAGGGGGCUUCCACCCCUUAGUGCUGAAGUUAACGCAUUAAGCACUCCGCCUG
rnacentral:rRNA from 1 species